rnacentral:rRNA from 1 species
GACGAACGCUGGCGGCGUGCCUAAUACAUGCAAGUAGAACGCUGAAGAGAGGAGCUUGCUCUUCUUGGAUGAGUUGCGAACGGGUGAGUAACGCGUAGGUAACCUGCCUUGUAGCGGGGGAUAACUAUUGGAAACGAUAGCUAAUACCGCAUAACAAUGGAUGACACAUGUCAUUUAUUUGAAAGGGGCAAUUGCUCCACUACAAGAUGGACCUGCGUUGUAUUAGCUAGUUGGUGAGGUAACGGCUCACCAAGGCGACGAUACAUAGCCGACCUGAGAGGGUGAUCGGCCACACUGGGACUGAGACACGGCCCAGACUCCUACGGGAGGCAGCAGUAGGGAAUCUUCGGCAAUGGACGGAAGUCUGACCGAGCAACGCCGCGUGAGUGAAGAAGGUUUUCGGAUCGUAAAGCUCUGUUGUAAGAGAAGAACGAGUGUGAGAGUGGAAAGUUCACACUGUGACGGUAUCUUACCAGAAAGGGACGGCUAACUACGUGCCAGCAGCCGCGGUAAUACGUAGGUCCCGAGCGUUAUCCGGAUUUAUUGGGCGUAAAGCGAGCGCAGGCGGUUAGAUAAGUCUGAAGUUAAAGGCUGUGGCUUAACCAUAGUACGCUUUGGAAACUGUUUAACUUGAGUGCAAGAGGGGAGAGUGGAAUUCCAUGUGUAGCGGUGAAAUGCGUAGAUAUAUGGAGGAACACCGGUGGCGAAAGCGGCUCUCUGGCUUGUAACUGACGCUGAGGCUCGAAAGCGUGGGGAGCAAACAGG